CAUUGUUUCCUCCUUCUUAUAUAAACCUCAUUUGUUUAAAAUACAUCCGGAGAACAGGCGAAUCUCAACAUAACACCGACUGUUACGUAACAGUCGGGGACUCCGCCCCCAAUAUUUGCAUAUGCUCAUGAUCCAGGCCAGGCGGAACCGCCCAGCGGAAUCAUCGGAAGUUCUGCAAGCAGAGUGAAGAAACAAGCCAAGCGAGGAUAACAGCGAAAAUGGCAGAUCAUGGAAAUAAAUGUUAUGUUCCAGGCUGUGAAGGGGAUGUGAAAACUUUUCAUAGUCUUCCUCCAGAAAAAAACUGUCAAAAGGCAUGGCUGAUGUUUAUCUAUAACCGGAUACCGGAACAAUUUAACUCAAAGUUGUUAGUUUGCUCUGCCCAUUUCACCACGGACAGCUUUUCUAACCUGGGACAAUAUCAAGCAGGCUUCGCUCAGCGUUUGACACUGAAGAAAGGGGUAAUUCCAACUAUAUUCCCGCAAGCAGUAAGUAGUGCUUUUAUCCACAUCUUGGCUGUAGAAACUAUUUCUGAUUAAAUGUAAAGUUUCUUAGUGAGCUAACAACAUUAACGACCAUGUACCCAGUGUUGUCUAGAUCUAAUGCAAGAUGCUAGUACAGUAACAAAUAGCAAAGUUUACGUAACUACUAUUAACGGUGAGGUUAAAAUUUAUUACUGUCUUUGUUAUAUAAAUCUAUAACAUAACCGUAGAUACAUAUGCCAAUUCUCUUUUGUCGGAUAUAAUUAUAAUUUGACCUAUAUUUAACCAACAACACAUUACACCGAAGCUAACUAUGUUAGUUUAUUUGCUUACAGAUAGCUACAGAUACUCGAUCCUUCUAGCUAACUUUCUACACCGUUCAAACUGAAACGAUAGUCAUUUGACAAGACAUUUAGUCACUUUUUUUCAAAUAUUUUUAUUUUUGAGAACUUGUAUGACUUGUAUGCGUACACCUGUGGAAAAAGAUAUUUAUAGACGAUGUAAGUUUUUGUUACUAAUAGCUAAAUCGUAAUCACACUACGGCAGCUGAGUAGUAAACAUGACACUGCUUUUUUGGAAUGUCUUCUAUGCUUUACUUUGGUUGGCUAAAUAAAUCAAAUUUAAAAUCAUAUCGGUGAUGUCAAUAUAUUAGAAACAAAUUUUCGUUCGUUGUUUAGAGUUGUUAUUGCAAAGUGAAGAAGCUAUCAUUGUAAGACCAUACAGCGACACAUUAUUACAAUUAUUUUUUUUUUACAAUGCUAAAAACAAAGUUGCAAAUACUGACGUUAUGAGUUAUAGUGUAAAGUUAACGCUAUAUGCUAGUUCCAUUGACGUAACAGUUACGUUUUGCAGGUGCAUACUGAAAAUAAAGACUAACUUACCACUCAGAAACGUCUAUGGCCAAUCGCAACAAAAUUGGUUGUUCCUCUACAUCUGCAUCUUCGUCAGAAACAGGCUCAAACAUAUAAGGUUGAAUACCAAAACUCUCCAUCGUUCACGCCGUACAGUACAGAUUUGUUCGCUAUCAGUGUGAGCUACUGGAAGGAGCCGAACAGUGAAACAGCCAAUCAGAGCGGAGCACCAUAUUACUAUUCAUGAGCCUUCCAAAUAAGGCAAAAACAGACCUUUUCAUUCUAGGGGCUAUUUGUGGGGUUAUAAAUGGAGCUGUAAAACCAUAUCUGGACAAUUUUCGGCCAUAAAAAAGCCACAUACCCUCUAUGUAGAUAUCAGGGAACAAUUUAAAAUGUUUUUUCAAAUCACUCAAGGGCACCUUUAAAUUACAUGAGAAAAUAUUUGUAUUGUGAAGAAAAUGACUUUCAACUCAGAAUUUGUAAACGACCUUUUUAUUGAUCAUAAGAAGAAAAAUAAAAGUACAAUAAAACAGGAUAAGAGCAUUGAAAAUUCUUCAGUCCAUCACUCCAGGGUUAGGACAGACCCAUCAACUUCAUAUCUAAAGAACAAUAAUGAGAGAAAAAUAGAAAAGGCAAUUAUUUUAAAAUACUAUCAAAUCAUUAACAGGAGCACUCUCUUAAAAAGCAUGCAUGAUUAUGAUCAAGCCAUGCCAGUGCUUUAUAUUUCUGUCCAAAUGGUUAAAGUAACAAAGGUGUACCUUGAAACCGAUAACGAUGUUUAUUUUGAUAUGUGAUGAUAAUGGCGCUCGGAAGCACCUGCAGUCAUGCGUCAUUGCGUCAUGCGAUGAUUGACGUCGUGCCUUCCCGCCUUCUCAUUUAAAAAAAAAACAAAAAAGCCACUAGCAAGCCAGCAUCCACUUCAAAACGUCCUACUCUCUCGAAAAUCUCAAGGUAAGAUAUGCAUAUUUCAUUUUAUAUUAACCGGUAAUGUUGUUUUUAUAUAAUUGUAUAAUUUUUUAUAGUUUUUUUUUUUUUUGUAAGAGUCAAAUUUUAACAAACUUAGCGAAGCUAAAUGCAAUUAAACUACAGAGACAGAUCUUUUGCACCAAGUUACGUGCUAGGUGUGCAAUAUGGACAAAAUAAUAAUAAUAGGGUGACCAGACCCGGUUUUUGGUGUUCUGUCCCCGACUGGAGCUGCCCCCGAAAAUGUCCCCGUUUUAUAGCUCGUUCAAAACAACCCGCAUUGCUAAAAAGCCCGACCAGCAUAAAGCGGACUGCUGGUUUAUCUGAGUAAUUGUGUAGUGAUCAUGUUCACCAACAGAGGGGGACGUGCAGCUACCGGCAGCUACACUUGGUCGCGCGCGCGUCUUUAGUUCAUGAAGAACACCUGGAUCUGGACCAGAUCAGAGCGCCAUUAUCAUCACAUAUCAAAAUAAACAUCGUUAUCGGUUUCAAGCUGAUGGGUCUGCCCCAACCCAGGAGUGAUGGACUGAAGAAUUUCCAAUGUCCUGUUUUAUUGUACUUUUAUUUUUCUUCUUAUGAUCAAUAAAAAAGUUGUUUCACAAA